ACAAUUUUGUUAGGCUAGGGUAUUCAAGGUACGUGCAUUAGGCCCUCGUUUCUUUUACUUAAGUUUUUUUAGAUGUCUCUCAUUUAGUUUGAUGGUGUGCAUGGAUUGUUUGAUGUCACUUGGGUUCAGGGUUGCUAUAUUGGGAAAAAAAGGAUGACGCAUGACACAAUUUAGGUGUACAUUUGUUUCAUAGAUUAGAUAGAGUUGUAUAUUGGUGAUGCGUUAUGACUGGUUUGUUUCAUAGAAUAGGGCGCACCUCUUCGUCAGCCAUCCUUUGGUGCUUCUCACGUUGUCUUUUUUGUUCUUAUCGAUGCUGCACAGAAGCUGCUGACCUUUCUCUGUUUUCUCUCUUGGUUGGAUUUACAGAUCAGGACACACAUCAUGGUGAGCUCCUUGGUCAUCAGCUGAUCCAUCACCGAGGAUGUGUUGCCAGGAAUAUAAGUCGCCAUCAUGAGACCUGGCUUCUCCCCCAGCCUUCUCUUCUUGUUGACAAGGCUCGACACUGCGCCUCCUUGCGACCCCUGUGGCAAGGCACGGCGCUGCUACUCCCCUAGGACUCAUCUAGAUGGUUUUUUCCCUAAAUUUUUCACAUCCUUCAGAAAAACUUUUCUUACUGAAUUUUUUACCGUUUGUUGGUAACUGAUGUUUUAAAGUUGAAGCAGCCAAUGUUUUACAGAUCAAUAUGUACCCUCUGUACUGAAUAAAUGGAUGUCUCAAUAGAUGGAUUGGGUCAAAGUAUGCAUAUAUACCACACUUGAGGUAUCUUGUCCUGAGCCAAUGGAGACAAGCAACACCAUGCUGCUGCUAUAUCUUAAUUGUCUUUCUUUUCUUUCACAAUAGUGAUGUACUUUUUAUACGUUAGGCAGUGGUAACCUUCCUUCUUUUGAUGAUGUUAUACUACUUAGUUUUUGGCAUACCCAAUGUACCAGCUUACUUCUGUUUCACUUAUUUUGCACUUA